AGUCAGUCCCAGACCAGGAGAGGGGCCAGCAGGCACUCACAUGUUGGCCCACAGCAGACUACCACGCAGGUGGAAUCAGCAAUGGAGGUGGGACCCAGAGCACGGUGCACAGAGGAGAGGGCUCAGGAGGUUACUUGGCUUCCAGGGCCUUUUGCCUAGACUGAUGACUCAGGACAGCAGGCCAGAGAGACAGAGAUCACCCCGAGAUGGAAUGGAGGAGGAGGCUGACGGAGGAAACAGUUCAGAGACGAGAACAUGCAGAAUGUUCUUUUCUCUGCCCACAUGGCAAGGCUUGUGUCUCUUGCGCAGAGUGGACGACUAUCAUAGAAGGCUUAAUGCUCAUCCAGAGAAGGUGUUGCUGUGGCAACCAGCAGUGCACAGGUGUAGCCUGGCCUCAGCUCAGCCCAGCUGUACCA